rnacentral:rRNA from 1 species
GACGAACGCUGGCGGCGUGCUUAACACAUGCAAGUCGAACGGAAAGGCCCUGCUUUUGUGGGGUGCUCGAGUGGCGAACGGGUGAGUAACACGUGAGUAAACUGCCCUUGGCUUUGGGAUAACUUCAGGAAACUGGGGCUAAUACCGGAUAGGAGCUCCUGCUGCAUGGGGGGGGCUGGCAAGUUUCGGCGGUUGGGGAUGGACUCGCGGCUUAUCAGCUUGUUGGUGGGGUAGUGGCUUACCAAGGCUUUGACGGGUAGCCGGCCUGAGAGGGUGACCGGCCACAUUGGGACUGAGAUACGGCCCAGACUCCUACGGGAGGCAGCAGUGGGGAAUAUUGCACAAUGGGCGGAAGCCUGAUGCAGCAACGCCGCGUGCGGGAUGACGGCCUUCGGGUUGUAAACCGCUUUCGCCUGUGACGAAGCGUGAGUGACGGUAAUGGGUAAAGAAGCACCGGCUAACUACGUG